rnacentral:rRNA from 1 species
UGAGGAAUAUUGGACAAUGGGUGAAAGCCUGAUCCAGCCAUCCCGCGUGAAGGAUGACGGCCCUACGGGUUGUAAACUUCUUUUGUACAGGAAUAAACCUAGAUACGUGUAUUUAGCUGAAGGUACUGUACGAAUAAGCACCGGCUAACUCCGUGCCAGCAGCCGCGGUAAUACGGAGGGUGCAAGCGUUAUCCGGAUUUAUUGGGUUUAAAGGGUCCGUAGGCGGACCUGUAAGUCAGUGGUGAAAUCUCAUAGCUUAACUAUGAAACUGCCAUUGAUACUGCAGGUCUUGAGUGAAUUUGAGGUAGCUGGAAUAAGUAGUGUAGCGGUGAAAUGCAUAGAUAUUACUUAGAACACCAAUUGCGAAGGCAGGUUACCAAGAUUCAACUGACGCUGAGGGACGAAAGCGUGGGGAGCGAACA